AUGUCUCUUGCCUCGCUCGGUCUGCCGCUUCCCCUCGGCUAAUCUUGAGCUGGAUGCAACCGGUCACUUUUAGUGUUGGUUGUAUGAGACAAGAAGAAGCGUGAAAACGCCUCGACGAUCUUUGAGUACGAUUUGAUCCGAAAUGCACCACGGGUCUACGUCGUAAUUUAUCAGUUGGGACAACC
rnacentral:snoRNA from 1 species